rnacentral:sRNA from 1 species
AAUCGAAUACAUAGCAAGUUCGCUGCGUUUUUUAUUACAUGGUAAUUUUUAUCUUUGGCACCUUUAUUUGGUGUCUUGAAAGGCUUAGGAGGACGAAGUAAAUGCAAAACGGUAAAGUAAAAUGGUUUAACAAUGAGAAAGGCUUCGGUUUUAUCGAAGUGGAAGGCGGCGACGAUGUAUUCGUACAUUUCAGCGCUAUCCAAGGCGAAGGCUAUAAAUCAUUAGAAGAAGGCCAAGAAGUUUCUUUUGAAAUCGUUCAAGGAAACCGUGGGCCACAAGCUGCUAACGUAGUUAAACUAUAAUUUAUAAUCAUGAUGAUUAAAGGCUGACCUAAGUCAGCCUUUUUAUU